GUUUUGCAGCCUUGCCAGUAGCACCUUACUGAAGUCCUGGACAGUGACUGGUAGAAAUAAUCUUCCUACUGCUUCUAAGUAGAUUUUAAUUUAGUAGUUUGGGAGACUAAGUGAAGCUCCAGGAUGGACACAGUAAAACUGUGAGAGCAAAAAAGAUACCCUUCACAGCCCAAAAGUUCUGUCCUACACGUACGAGGAUAAUGCCUGAUACAUCAGAAAGUUUGCAGCAAAACUGAAGCAUUUCACAUGCUUGAUUUCAAAGGCUUCACUAUAUACACUUCUAAAAAAAUUGUAUGUAGAGCAAGCCCAAGGCAAGAAAGAGAAGUAGCCUAAACCAACAGUAUUGUUCUUCUGUCCCCUUUUUUAUCCUUGCAGGGAAUUAGACAAGUUUUCACCUUCUAAUCUUUGUGUAGGAUCACACACAGCUUGGUGUGUCUUUGAAUACCGCAGAAACUGAGUGGCUUCUUGCUGCAGAAUAGAAUAUGGAAAGUACUGAAAGCUGUCUGUGGUGUGAUAUGGCUGAGAUCCAUGUACAAACGUACAGGAAGGAUUGCUUCUCCUGGAAGGUUGCUUUACCUAGCCCCACUGUUACUAUUCAUAUGCACAUAAGACUUGAAAAUUUAGUGAGAAGAACAUCUGUGCUCUACCUUCGAAUUCCUUUAAAAGAAUUUGAAGUCUUCAAAGGACACUUUGUUGUAUUCAGAAAAGUGCUCUGUGAUUAA
rnacentral:lncRNA from 1 species